UGGGGAAUAUUAGACAAUGGGCGCAAGCCUGAUCCAGCAAUUCCGCGUGAAGGAUGACGCAUUACGGUGUGUAAACUUCUUUUUUGGUGAAAGACGAAUGACGGUACACCAAGAAUAAGGGACGGCUAACUACGUGCCAGCAGCCGCGGUAAUACGUAGGUCCCAAGCGUUAUCCGGAUUUACUGGGUGUAAAGCGUCUGUAGCUUGAUAAAUAAGUCUGUUUUCAAAACCCACGACUUAAUCGUGGACCGGGAAUAGAUACUGUUUAACUAGAGGUCAUUAGGGGUUAGUGGAAUUUCCGGUGGAGCGGUGAAAUGCGUUGAUAUUGGAAGGAAUGCCGAAAGCGAAAGCAGCUAACUAUAAUGAACCUGACAGUGAGAGGCGAAAGUUUGGGUAGCAAACGGG
rnacentral:rRNA from 1 species